AUGCAGUCGAGCGAGAAGCACUUCGGUGCGAGUACAGCGGCGGACGGGUGAGUACCGCGUAGGAAUCUACCUGGUAGUGGGGGACAACAUGGUGAAAACCAUGCUAAUACCGCAUACGCCCUAAGGGGGAAAGCGGGGGAUCUUCGGACCUCGCGCUAUUGGAUGAGCCUGCGUAAGAUUAGCUAGUUGGUGGGGUAAAAGCUCACCAAGGCGACGAUCUUUAGCUGGUCUGAGAGGAUGAUCAGCCACACUGGAACUGAGACACGGUCCAGACUCCUACGGGAGGCAGCAGUGGGGAAUAUUGCGCAAUGGGCGAAAGCCUGACGCAGCCAUGCCGCGUGUGUGAAGAAGGCCUUAGGGUUGUAAAGCACUUUCAAUUGGGAAGAAAGGUUGUCCGUUAAUAGCGUGCAGCUGUGACAUUACCUUUAGAAGAAGCACCGGCUAACUCCGUGCCAGCAGCCGCGGUAAUACG
rnacentral:rRNA from 1 species